rnacentral:rRNA from 1 species
AAACCAACAGGGAUUGCCUCAGUAACGGCGAGUGAAGCGGCAAAAGCUCAAAUUUGAAACCCUCGGGAUUGUAAUUUGAAGAUUUGGCAUUGGAGAAAGCUAACCCAAGUUACUUGGAAUAGUACGUCAUAGAGGGUGACAACCCCGUCUGGCUAACCGUUCUCCAUGUAUUGCCUUAUCAAAGAGUCGAGUUGUUUGGGAAUGCAGCUCAAAGUGGGUGGUAAACUCCAUCUAAAGCUAAAUACUGGUGAGAGACCGAUAGCGAACAAGUACUGUGAAGGAAAGGUGAAAAGAACUUUGAAAAGAGAGUGAAAUAGUAUGUGAAAUUGUUGAUAGGGAAGGAAAUGAGUGGAGAGUGGUUGCGGUUUCAACCAGCCCUUGGGCUGGCCUAUUGCCAACGCCGAGUCAUUGUCCGCGAGACGGGAGCUAUAAACGGGUUACAUUUAUGUUUCUCACCUACCUCCCCCACUGCAGUCAACGACAUAAUCCACCCAUUUCACC